GUCAGCUGAAGACCUCUACUUCGUCUUAGUCAAGGAGGACAUGUCCAUGGUAUAUGCAGUCUGUGGAGAUCCAGAAACGAUGCUUAAUACUCAUCUAUCUGAACACUUCUCUUGGCUGUGCUGAACCAUCAUCCUAUGGGUUUGGCCUGGGCAAGCCUAUCUGUGAGUCAGCACUUCUUUAAUAAUCUCAAAUCUCCAGGAUAUUUACUGACAUCUUCGUAUCAUCACUCCAACCUCAUGAAUGGAGCUAGAAGAUACUACAAGCGCUGCCGGAAGUCCGUUGCUACAGAAUCAGCCGCCACUCUGGGAAGUAGAAUCCUGUCAAAGGAAGCAAAUUCUGAAUCAUGAGCCCAUCCUGAUACUACAGACCAAGAUCCAGAAGAGCUGACUCUAGUAAGAAUUCUCAUCCUUA